UCAGCGGCGGACGGGUGAGUAACACGUGGGUAACCUGCCUGUAAGACUGGGAUAACUCCGGGAAACCGGGGCUAAUACCGGAUGCUUGAUUGAACCGCAUGGUUCAAUCAUAAAAGGUGGCUUUUAGCUACCACUUGCAGAUGGACCCGCGGCGCAUUAGCUAGUUGGUGAGGUAACGGCUCACCAAGGCGACGAUGCGUAGCCGACCUGAGAGGGUGAUCGGCCACACUGGGACUGAGACACGGCCCAGACUCCUACGGGAGGCAGCAGUAGGGAAUCUUCCGCAAUGGACGAAAGUCUGACGGAGCAACGCCGCGUGAGUGAUGAAGGUUUUCGGAUCGUAAAACUCUGUUGUUAGGGAAGAACAAGUACCGUUCGAAUAGGGCGGUACCUUGACGGUACCUAACCAGAAAGCCACGGCUAACUACGUGCCAGCAGCCGCGGUAAUACGUAGGUGGCAAGCGUUGUCCGGA
rnacentral:rRNA from 1 species